rnacentral:lncRNA from 1 species
UUUAAAUAGAGCAUCUCAAGGAGCUAGUGGUCUAAGGAACAGAUUUUGAUAACCCUGGGAUAGGAAGAUCAGAGGUUAAAAAGCCAGCAUUUAGGCUGAGCCUUGUAAGAUGGGAGUGACUUAGUCAAAUAAAGAUGGAGUACAGAAUAUUCUAGGCAGAGAGGAGUCAAAGCAAAAAAACCCCAAAGUAUCAUUAUAAUUGAGGGCAGCAAAAAUCUUUUGUAGAAAUAUAUUUAUUCAUGGGGAAAAAAAUGGACUUACUGUUGGAAAGGAUAAAAGCCAAAAUGAUUGCAGUGGACAGUUGCUGUUUUGGCCUGCCAGGAUCCAUCCCCCAUUCUUCAGGAAACAGCAUCAGAAUUUUCCUCGGGGACCCCAAACUGAAAAAGUAUUAGAACUCAACAAAACUUGAUCUGCCUUUGGAAACAACCCUUCUCAUCACACUCACUUUGUGACAUUCAGGUGGUGCUGACUGCAUCCCAGACUCCGGAAGGGGUGACAGAUCCUAUCCUCGUCAUGCUGGCACUGGUUCCGAACCUGUUGGAAAAAUGUGGUCUUACUACACUCUAUGCAUUUGAUUAUCUGCCUGUUUCUUUGCAAGACUGUGAGGCCCUCACUGAUUCGUCUUUACAUCCUGACCACUUGACAGAGUACCUGGCAUUCAGUAGGUGCUCAAUAAAUGUUUGCUAAAUAAAUGAAAGACUUAAGUAACUUUUUUAUUAAACCACAUGAUGAAGGUAUCAAACAUUAAAAAUAAUAAGAAAGAUGGAAACUAAAGAAAUAGUCAAAUAAGGGGAGUGCCCAAAUAAGUUAUGACCAGAACCAUAUGACAGAAUUUUAUGAUGUAAAU